rnacentral:misc_RNA from 1 species
ACCAAGAAAGUUAUCCAAUACCUAGCACAUAUAGCAGCCAGCAAGGGUGGCAAAGGUACAGCCACAAUCCACAGUAUACAAAGUAUGCAUAGCCUUUCCCGGAACAUUGUAGGUGAACUGGAAGCUCAGCUGCUCCAAGCCAACCCGAUCCUUGAAUCUUUCGGAAAUGCCAAGACCGUCAAGAACGACAACUCUUCACGUUUUGGUAAAUUCAUCCGCAUCAACUUUGACACAUCUGGGUUCAUCGCAGGAGCCUACAUUGACAGUUACCUUCUGGAAAAGGCUCGUGUCAUCCGUCAGGCCGGCACCGAGAGGACAUUUCACAUCUUCUACCAGUUGUGUCUGGGAACCAACGCUCAGGACAAGGAGAAAUACGUGCUGCGUAGCAUCGAUACCUACAACUACCUUAGCAAUGGAAACGUGCCUGUCACUGGGGUGGAUGAUGUCAAGGAGUUUCAAGAAACCAUCAGUGCUAUGCAAAUCAUGAACAUCAGCGAUGAAGAGAUCACAUGUUGUCUCAAGGUGGUCUCUGCAGUCCUGUGGUUUGGGAACAUGGAGUUCAAGCAAGAGAGGAACUCAGAUCAGGCUAUUCUUCCCAACAAUGAGAUUGCCCAGAGGAUAAGUCAUCUCCUUGGAAUCAGUGUGACAGACUUCACCAAGGCUAUUCUCAAACCUCGCAUCAAGGUCGGCAGAGACUAUGUCAACAAGGCACAAACCAAGAACCAGGUUGAGUUUGCAUGUGAAGCUCUGUCCAAGGCACUCUAUGAGAAGCUCUUCCAAUGGGUGGUCUACAGGAUCAACAAGUCCCUGGACAGGAGCAGACGUACUGCAGCAUCCUUUAUCGGUAUCCUCGACAUUGCUGGCUUUGAGAUCUUCCAGAUGAACUCCUUUGAGCAGCUUUGCAUCAAUUACACCAAUGAGAAACUCCAACAGCUGUUCAACCACACCAUGUUCGUCUUGGAACAGGAGGAGUACCGCCUGGAGGGCAUCGACUGGAAGUUCAUCGAUUUUGGACUCGAUCUACAGCCUUGCAUUGACCUCAUCGAGAAGCCCAUGGGUAUCUUGGCUCUUCUUGAUGAAGAAUGCUGGUUCCCGAAGGCCACUGAUAAAACCUACGUAGAGAAGCUGCACAAAGAGAUGACCAAACACCCCAACUACAUGAAACCAGACUUCAGAGACAGUGCCGACUUCUGCGUUAUACAUUAUGCUGGCAGGGUGGCCUACUCAGCUACUCAGUGGUUGACUAAGAAUAUGGACCCUCUCAAUGACAAUGUCAUCGCCCUGAUGAGGAACUCUUCAGAGCCUUUCAUCACUUCACUCUGGAAGGAUGCCAACAUCGUUGGUAUGAGCAACCUGGAAGGAAGCAACACUCGCUUUGGUAGCUCCCAGACCCGUCGGGGUAUGUUCCGUACCGUGGGCCAGCUUUACAAGGAGCAGCUGUCUGAUCUGAUGACAACCCUCAAUUCCACCAACCCCAACUUCGUCCGUUGCAUCAUCCCCAAUCACGAGAAGAAGGCUGGCAAGAUUGACUCCCAUCUAGUACUGGAACAGCUGAGAUGUAAUGGUGUACUGGAAGGUAUCCGUAUCUGUCGUCAGGGCUUCCCAAAUCGUAUCCUCUUCCAAGAGUUCAGAUCCCGAUAUGAGUUGCUGACACCAGACGUCAUUCCAAAGGGCUUCAUGGAUGGAAGAAAGGCCGCCCAAGCCAUGAUCAGCGCUUUGGAGCUGGACCCCAACCUGUUCCGUCUGGGGCAGAGCAAGAUCUUCUUCCGCGCCGGUGUGUUGGCCCACCUUGAGGAGGAACGUGAUCUGAAAUUGACCGACAUCAUCAUCCGCUUCCAAGCUCACUGCCGUGGUGCCAUUGCUAGAAAGAACUACCAGAAACGUAUCCAGCAGUUGAGUGCCAUCCGCAUCAUCCAACGUAACUGUCUGGCCUACCUCAAACUCCGUAACUGGCAGUGGUGGCGUCUUUUCACCAAGGUCAAGCCGCUCCUGAACGUUACUCGUCAAGACGAGGAGAUGCAGCAGCGAGAGGAUGAACUGCGUAAGGUCAGGGACAAGCUGGAGAACACAGAGAAGGACUACACUGACAUGGAGCGUAAACUCCAACAGGUACUUGACGAGAAGAGCCUCCUAGCAGAACAGUUGCAGGCCGAGUCAGAACUGAGCCAGGAAGCUGAGGAGAUGAGGGUGAAGUUGGCUGCCAAGAAACAGGAGCUUGAAGAGAUACUUCAUGACCUUGAGGCUCGUAUUGAGGAAGAAGAAGAGAAGAAUCUAGGUCUCGGUGCAGAGCAGAAGAGACUUCAACAGAAUAUCAAUGACCUUGAAGAACAGCUUGAAGAGGAAGAAGCUUCCAGGCAGAAGAUACAACUAGAAAAGGUCCAAGCUGAUGCCAGAAUCAAGAAAGUAGAGGAAGAUUUAGCCAUCCUAGAUGAUUCUCAUGCUAAGUUGUUGAAAGACAAGAAGAUCGUUGAUGAGAAGCUCUCGGAGGUGUCUGCCACGUUGACCGAGGAGGAAGAGAAGAGCAAGGGUCUGAUGAAACUCAAGGCUCGCCAUGAAUCAAGCAUCGGAGAACUUGAAGACAAGAUUCGCAAAGAUGAGAAGCUACGUAAUGAUUUGGAGCGUCACAAGCGCAAGCUUGAAACUGAGACAGAAGAUCUAAGGGAGCAGCUUAAUGAGCUUCGUCAAGAGAUCGUAGAACUGAGGGCGCUACUUGCAAGGAAAGAAGAAGAGCUCAAUGCUGCCCUGGCUCGCAUCGAUGAUGAGGUGACCCAGAAGAACCAGCUUCAGAAGCAGGAGCGUGAGCUCCGUAAUCAGUUGACCGAGCUCCAGGAGGAUCUAGACGCUGAGAAGGAUGCUCGCUCCAGGGCUGAAAAGAACAAGAGGGAUCUCAAUGAGGAACUGGAGGCGAUCAAAUCCGAGCUGAUGGAUUCUAUCGACAACACCGCAGCUGCCCAGGACCUGAGGAACCGCAGAGAAAACGAGCUUCAGGACAUAAAGAAGCAGCUAGAGGAGGGCAGCAGAUCACACGAGCAGACCAUACAAGAUCUCCGUCACAAGCACAACAGUGCCAUCGAACAGCUCAAUGACCAAUUGGAUAACGUUAAGAAGUCCAAAUCAUCUUUGGAGAAGAACAAGGCCAGUUUGGAGAGCAACAACUCUGAACUGAACAACGAUCUCAAGCAAGCCACCCAAGCCAAGCAAGAAUCGGAAAGGAAGAGAAAGACCCUGGAAGCACAACUAGCUGAACUGAACGUCAGGCUACAGGAAACCGAGAGAGCAAAGACAGAUUCACAGGAGAAGGCCUCUAAACUUCAAAAUGAAGUAGAGAGCCUGAAUACCGUCCUGGAGGAAACAGAGAGCAAGGCUUCAAAGGCCACAUCAUCAUCCAACUCCUUGAUGGGUCAGCUGACAGAGAUGCAGGAGAGCCUUAACGAGGAGACCAGGCAGAAGCUAGAGUUCAAUUCCAAACUGAGAGCUAUGGAGGCUGAGAAAGAGCAAAUACAGGAGCAAUUAGAGGAAGAGGAACAGGCCAGGAGCAAUGCUUUGAGACAGAUCUCAACCCUGCAGAUGCAGGUAUCUGAUCUGAAGAAGAAGGUUGAGGACGAUUCCAACUCUCUGGACCAAGCAGAAGAAUACCGCAAGAAGAUGUCCAAGGAACUGGAGGCCAUGAACAACACCAACGAGGAACUCAAGCUGGCUUCGGACAAACUGGAGAAGACUAAGAAGAGGCUACAGGCUGAGCUUGAUGACGUGACUCUGAACAUGGAGAGGGAGAAGGCCAGCGUCACGGCUCUGGAGAAGAAGCAGAGGAAGUUUGACAGCAUGCUCAAUGAUGAGAAAGCCGAGAAGGAACGCAUCAUUCAGGAACUUGACGAGAGAUCAAAGGAAUGUCGUGACAAAGAAACCAAGCUGAUGAAUCUUAACCGAGAGUUUGAGGAACUCCAAGAAAGCUUACAGGAGAGUGAGAGAGUACGCAAGACACAGAGUGCUGAGCUGGAUGAACUCGUCUCAUCAAAGGACGAUGUCGGCAAGAAUGUUCAUGAGCUUGAAAAGGCCAAGAAGUCUUUGGAGACCCAGAUUGAAGAGAUGCGUACUCAGAUGGAAGAACUGGAAGAUGAGCUCCAAGCCACUGAGGAUGCCAAGCUACGUCUAGAGGUCAAUCUCCAGGCUGCGAAGGCUAACUUUGAAAGAGAUUCAUCAUCAAAGGAGGAACAGUCUGAGGAGAAGAGGCGUGCUCUCGUCAGACAGCUUCGUGAGAUGGAGGCUGACCUUGAGGAAGAGAGGAAACAACGAGGAAGCGCUGUUAACCAGAGGAAGAAACUUGAGAUGGAUCUCAAAGAUCUAGAGAGUCAUGUGGACGCUGCCAACAAGACCAAAGAAGAUAGUGUGAGACAACUACGCAAACUUCAGGCUCAACUGAAAGAAUACCAAGCAGAUAUGGAGGAUGCCCGCCAUGCUAGAGACGAGAUCUUCCAGUCUGCAAAGGAAAAUGAGCGUAAGCUUAAAGCUAUGGAGACUGAACUCAUGACACUACAAGAGGAAUUGGCGAUGGCUGAGCGUGCCCGUAAGCACGCCGAGAUGGAGCGGGAUGAGCUCCACGAAGAGAUCAACAGCAACACGUCCAAGGGGUCUGCAGCUAUGGACGAGAAGAGGAGGUUAGAACAGAAGCUCUCCCAGUUGGAAGAAGAGCUGGAGGAUGAACAGACUAUGGUGGAGAGUCUGAUGGAUAAAGAGAGGAAAAUCACUGGACAGAUGGAGCAAAUGCAGGCCGAGCUGGCAUCAGAGAGGUCUUCCAAUCAACGCAAUGAGAAUGCUAAGAAUAUUCUCGAAAGACAGAACAAGGAUUUGAAAGCUAAGAUGGCUGAGAUGGAAAGUGCUAGUAGAUCUAAAUCCAAGGCUACCAUCCAACAGCUUGAGAGCAAGAUAGCACAGCUUGAAGACUCUCUUGAUAUUGAGGCUAAGGAACGCAACACAGCAGCUAAGAUGGCUAAGAGAGCCGAUAGGAAAGCCAAAGAGAUGGCCAUGGCUAUUGAAGAUGAACGCCGCCAUGCUGAGCAGUACAAAGAACAGUUGGACAAGAGCAAUUCCCGGUUAAAAACCUUGAAGCGCCAGCUGGAUGAAACUGAAGAGGAAGUCACCAGGCUUAAUGCCGCCAAGCGCAGGAUCCAGCGUGAAUUGGACGAGCAGACGGAGGCCAACGAAGCCCUACAGAGGGAGACUCAGCAGUAUAGGAACAGAUUACGACCAUAAGACAAUAAAACAGCAGUGCUGUCUCUCAGUCGACUGAGGUGUCAAGAAAGAGGAGGGUCCUCGCGACUCGUAGGCAGAUCCAACAGAUCACACAGGAGCGCCGCAGCGGAUAGUGACGAUAGGAUUGAUGGCACUGGAUCGGAUGAAGUCCAAGAGUAGCAACUUUCCUUUA